GAUGAACGCUGGCGGCGUGCCUAAUACAUGCUAGUCGAGCGAACAGACGAGGAGCUUGCUCCUCUGACGUUAGCGGCGGACGGGUGAGUAACACGUGGAUAACCUACCUAUAAGACUGGGAUAACUUCGGGAAACCGGAGCUAAUACCGGAUAAUAUAUUGAACCGCAUGGUUCAAUAGUGAAAGACGGUUUUGCUGUCACUUAUAGAUGGAUCCGCGCCGCAUUAGCUAGUUGGUAAGGUAACGGCUUACCAAGGCAACGAUGCGUAGCCGACCUGAGAGGGUGAUCGGCCACACUGGAACUGAGACACGGUCCAGACUCCUACGGGAGGCAGCAGUAGGGAAUCUUCCGCAAUGGGCGAAAGCUUGACGGAGCAACGCCGCGUGAGUGAUGAAGGUCUUCGGAUCGUAAAACUCUGUUAUUAGGGAAGAACAAAUGUGUAAGUAACUAUGCACGUCUUGACGGUACCUAAUCAGAAAGCCACGGCUAACUACGUG
rnacentral:rRNA from 1 species